UACGUAGGGUGCGAGCGUUGUCCGGAAUUACUGGGCGUAAAGAGCUCGUAGGUGGUUUGUCGCGUUGUUCGUGAAAACUCACAGCUUAACUGUGGGCGUGCGGGCGAUACGGGCAGACUGGAGUACUGCAGGGGAGACUGGAAUUCCUGGUGUAGCGGUGGAAUGCGCAGAUAUCGGGAGGAACACCGGUGGCGAAGGCGGGUCUCUGGGCAGUAACUGACGCUGAGGAGCGAAAGCGUGGGGAGCGAACAGG
rnacentral:rRNA from 1 species